GCGGAGCGCCGGAGGCAGGCCCCACCCGGGGCCGGAGCCGUGCGCUCCCCGCGGCCUUUUCUGGGAGGGCGGCGAGGCCCUGACGGGGGCCGUGGUUUGACAGCGCCUCGGGGAGAAGGGCGCGGUCCCCGCGGCGGUGACUGGGCUGUAACGGGGAGCCUGACGCUGUUCGGCCGUGUGGUCGGGGCUGGCUGCUGGCAAAGGGGCCGGGGUCCGCGCCCUUUCCAGGCUGCACUGUGCGCUUGGGGAGACCUUUGGGUGUCUGCGGGCUUGGACGAGGCGUUCCGGAGCUCGGGCCCAGGGAAACAGCACAGGGGACUGGCUGAGGGGCUCAGCCUGGGACACGGCCCCAGCAGGAGCAGCCCUGGGCACACUGGCACAGGAGGAUGAGCCCAGAGACAGAGGAGAUGCUGCUGCACCCGUCCCCAGGAGAGCCCCUGCCUCCCUUCUGCUCUCAGGAGUGGGACUGGGAGCCACCUCCAUGCAGUCAGAGAGUGGCACCUGGCCUGGCUUCACUCCCCGAGGGAAGAGGCUGCUCAGAGCUCCUGAUUAGGGACAUCCACGCCUGCGCCUGGCUGGGAAUCCAGGGUGCACCAGUUCCAGAUCCAGCCACGAGACGUUCCUGCUGCAGCUGCAGGUGUUACCCAGUCCAGCUUGCUGAACCUCCAGCUCUGGCUGUGGCAUGAUCUUCAUUCCAGCUCUGGAAUUGAGAUGCUCCAGUUGAUGGCUGCUCCAGUUCCUUCCAGCUCUGGCUUAAUAACUGCUGCUUUUUGUUACAAGCCACUUUAAAGCUCCAGCUAAUUGCAGUUAUCUGGGCUUUUGGCCAAGUUGUACAUGACUCACUGUCAUCAAUUACAUAUAACUAUUAACUUUGUUAUAACUAUUAACUAUUUAUUGUCAUAAAGUUAUUGUUUAAGUAGAAGUCAUAACUGUUGUAGUGGUUGUGCACAAUAAACAGUUGGA